ACUAGGGCCAAGCGGCUCCGGUAGGCGCGCGGCAGCAGAGGUGGUCCGCCGCCGGCAGCCGGGGCUUUGGUGGCCGCUGAAGGUUUGCGGCAGGAGGCCUUUGUGAAGUCAGUCGGCUCCAGGUCGCCCUCCGGAUGCGGUCCCCACACCGCCUGCGUCACCUGGGUUGAGGGGCUCAUUUGAAAUACAGACUUCGCUACCCACCCCAGCCUGCUGAAUCGGAAAUGCAGCGGUGAGCCAUAGGUGAUUAUUAUGCACCCUUAAAUUUAAGAAUUAGUCAUUCGGAGGUUUCUCUCAAUGGCGAACUUGAAAAUAAGUUCAGGAAACCAGACAAUUGGAGCGGACCGACAGCCCUGAUUCCAAUGGGUAGCUGUCAAUGGCUUUGGAAGAAAAUCCCAGAGAUAACAGAACAUUCUUGCUGCAUUAUGGAAUUAAAUGAUCUUCUUGGCACAGAGGACAAUGCUAUGGGAUGAAUGAGUUGGGGAAAUGAAUGCCUAUGAUGCUGAUUUUAAAAAUUAUUCAAAAGAGCUGGAUUCUAAAAGUUGAAUGAAUACUUUAUAUAACUUAUAUUUUCCUUUUUAUACUUGCACAAGAGUAAAAUAGAAUAAAAAUCAUUUCUAAAUAA